rnacentral:ncRNA from 1 species
AACAUCAGAAGGGCAACACAAUGCGGGAGUAUAAUGCAGCAGGGACAAUGGGCUUGUGGCAGCCAAGCGUUCAUAGCGAUGUUGCUUUUUGAUCCUUCGAUGUCGGCUCUUUCUAUCAUACUGAAGCAGAAUUCAGUAAGCGCUGGAUUGUUCACCCACUAAUAGGGAACGUGAGCUGGGUGUAGACCGUCGUGACAGGUUAGUUUUGCCCUAAUGAUGAAAUGUUGCUGCAAUAGUAAAUGAACUUGGUACGAAAGGAACCGUUCAUUCGCAGUCGGUCGCAAAAUAUGUCGGAUGGUACAUAUUUUUUUCAUUGUCAUAUCUAUUCUCUCUCAGACAAUGUACUAUCCAACUGUAAUUCUAAGGGAUGGAGGAGAGGUCAAUGUGCCAUAUGUACAUGGAAGACUGACAUCAUAAGGAUCAACGGUGAAGGAAAAAUGAUGUUGCAAACAUUUUAACUCAUCCGACGUAUUUUGCUUGCAUGUCUAAAUGCCAUGUAAAAACGUCACAUAACUAUAUAGUAAUAUUCGUCUUCAGCACCGUUUUCUCCACAGCUACAAUAUCAACCCGCCUUUAAACUUUUAGUGAAGAUGGCUGUGGUGAUAGCACAAGUCAUAUAUGCAAAUGCUACUAAAACUACACAUAUUCAUGGGAUUAUCUUUGUUUGAAGAUAAAAACAUAAGAAAAACAUAAACAAACCUCGUUCUUUUAUCAUAAAGAGCUUGUCUUGCAACAGUCUUUUGCAGUAAGCUGCAUAUAUGUAGUGUGUCCAUCCCAUCAUCUUUCUUAUGAGUUUUGUAGAGCAUUAUAGAGACAGAUCAGAAGCACUUAUGCUUUUUAUCCAAAUUCACUAUGAAAACUCAUGAUAGUUUUACAUGGCAUUUAGACAUGCAUGCAAAAUACGUCGGAUGAGUUAAAAUGUUUGCAACAUCAUUUUUCCUUCACCGUUGAUCCUUAUGAUGUCAGUCUUCCAUGUAUAUAUGGCACAUUGACCUCUCCUCCAUCCCUUAGAAUUACAGUUGGAUAGUACAUCGCUUGAGAGAGAAUAGAUAUGACAAUGAAAAAAAUACGUACCAUCCGACAUAUUUUGCAACCGACUGCGGCUAAUUGGUAUUUGGGCUUGCCUAAGCAGGCAGUGGCCCGAAGCUAUCAUCCGUUGGGGUAUGGCUGAACGCCUCUAAGUCAGAACUCGUGCUAGAACGCGACGAUUACCUCCUUUUCCGAUUUUUUAGUUGAAUACGAAUAGAUCUUCGGAUCCUGAAUCAUACUACGUGGGGUUAUCUUGCAGAGCGGAAAGGCUUUAUGAGGAUCCUGAUAAUGUUAAUUUUAAAUAUUGGAAGAGAUAAAUCCAUAGUAAACGACUUUACUUGAACGGGGCAUUGUAAGCAGUAGAGUAACCUUGUUGCUACGAUUUAUUGAGAUUAAGCCCAUUGUUCUAUAGAUUU